rnacentral:miRNA from 2 species
UCUGUGCUAAUUUACAUCUGCCG